rnacentral:lncRNA from 14 species
CAGCCCUUGGGGAAGCCCAGCACUCCUCAGAGCCUGCUGCAGCAAGACCUGCUGCUGAGGUCCCGAAAUUCAGGAAGUUCCACCAGCAGUAAGCACAGAGUUCUGAACUGAGCUGCCUUAUUUCUAACAGUAAAAAUGAGGAUGAGGAAGGCAAAGGUAACUGAUAUGGUGGUAGUAUUAAGUAACCCUAGCACAUGUCACUCCUUCCUAAACCCAAACCCUUUCCUCUGAAUAUGCCCCAGAAGCUGCAGCCUAUCGCUAGUAAUGCACUGCCUCUGCCUUCUUAGCUCCUCCACCUCUGCCUGCUGAAACCCUAUUGCCUUUAAUGUUGUCUCUCCUUGCCUCCUACCUGCUGCUACUGCCUGCCAGGUUCAGCCAUAAAUGCCAAAACCACGGACUUGAGCUCAUGGGAACUACAGAAGAAUUGGCUCAGUUUCCACUUCCUACAAGUGUGCCUAGAUGGGAUGCUGGGAGAAGAAAAGGACAUAUCAGAGGAAAAACUGGAUCUGUGCUAGCUCCCUUCAAGAGCUUGCUUUGUUGGUUUGGAGCAGCUUUUUGGAGUUGUGAAAGCUGUUCCACUUGA